rnacentral:rRNA from 1 species
GCUCAGAACGAACGUUGGCGGCGUGGAUGAGGCAUGCAAGUCGAUCGUGAAAGCACCUUCGGGUGUGAGUAAAGAGGCAAAAGGGUGAGUAACACGUAAUCAACCUGCCCUCGAGAUGGGGACAACCACUGGAAACGGUGGCUAAUACCCAAUAUUGACCCUGGUCGCAUGGCCGGGAGUCGAAACGGAUGGGAUCCUUCGGGACCUUCUGCUCGAGGAGGGGAUUGCGGACUAUCAGCUUGUUGGUGAGGUAAUGGCUCACCAAGGCUAUGACGGUUAGCCGGUCUGAGAGGAUGUCCGGCCACACUGGGACUGAGAUACUGCCCAGACUCCUACGGGAGGCUGCAGUCGAGAAUCUUCCGCAAUGGACGAAAGUCUGACGGAGCGACGCCGCGUGAAGGAUGAAUGCCCUCGGGUUGUAAACUUCUGUCAAGUCUCAAGGAAAGGGUACGUGUUAAUAGCGCGUGCCUUGACGUUAGGUCUAAAGGAAGCACCGGCUAACUCUGUGCCAGCAGCCGCGGUAAUACAGAGGGUGCAAACGUUGUUCGGAAUCACUGGGCUUAAAGCGCGCGUAGGCGGCGGCAUCAGUGUCGUGUGAAAGCCCCCGGCUCAACCGGGGAACUGCACGGCAUACUGUGUUGCUAGAGUACGAGAGGGGAGAGGAGAACUCCUGGUGGAGCGGUGGAAUGCGUAGAUAUCAGGAGGAAUGCCGAAGGUGAAGACACCUCUCUGGCUCGUAACUGACGCUAAGGCGCGAAAGCUAGGGUAGCGAACGGGAUUAGAUACCCCGGGUAGUCUAGCCCUAAACGAUGGGUACUAGGUAGGGG